rnacentral:lncRNA from 1 species
GGGGCUAAUAUAGAGGUAAACUCACUUUGGACUUUCUAUUGAAUUACAAAAGGCCUACCCGUUCAGUCAUUUGGAGUGAGGAGCCUUAUACGGAUUAAUAUUUUGGAGUAAGAAGUAAGGAGAACGUUCAACAGAGACAGAAACUCUUCAUAAGAUUAUCUUCAUCUGACGGUCUAUCUCAACUUUUUUUUUAAUGAACGUUCUGAAUUCUAAUAUAU